rnacentral:rRNA from 1 species
GACGAACGCUGGCGGCGUGCUUAACACAUGCAAGUCGAACGGAAAGGCCCUGCUUUUGUGGGGUGCUCGAGUGGCGAACGGGUGAGUAACACGUGAGUAACCUGCCCUUGACUUUGGGAUAACUUCAGGAAACUGGGGCUAAUACCGGAUAGGAGCUCCUGCUGCAUGGUGGGGGUUGGAAAGUUUCGGCGGUUGGGGAUGGAAUCGCGGCUUAUCAGCUUGUUGGUGGGGUAGUGGCUUACCAAGGCUUUGACGGGUAGCCGGCCUGAGAGGGUGACCGGCCACAUUGGGACUGAGAUACGGCCCAGACUCCUACGGGAGGCAGCAGUGGGGAAUAUUGCACAAUGGGCGGAAGCCUGAUGCAGCAACGCCGCGUGCGGGAUGACGGCCUUCGGGUUGUAAACCGCUUUCGCCUGUGACGAAGCGUGAGUGACGGUAAUGGGUAAAGAAGCACCGGAUAACUACGUG